UACGAAGGGGACUAGCGUUGUUCGGAAUUACUGGGCGUAAAGCGCACGUAGGCGGAUUUGUAAGUCAGGGGUGAAAUCCCGGGGCCCAACCUUGGAACUGCCUUUGAUACUGCAAAUCUCGAGUCCGAUAGAGGUGGGUGGAAUUCCUAGUGUAGAGGUGAAAUUCGUAGAUAUUAGGAAGAACACCGGUGGCGAAGGCGGCCCACUGGAUCAGUACUGACGCUGAGGUGCGAAAGCGUGGGGAGCAAACAGG
rnacentral:rRNA from 1 species